ACCGACGGGAGCUUGCUCCCUUAGGUCAGCGGCGGACGGGUGAGUAACACGUGGGUAACCUGCCUGUAAGACUGGGAUAACUCCGGGAAACCGGGGCUAAUACCGGAUGCUUGAUUGAACCGCAUGGUUCAAUCAUAAAAGGUGGCUUUCAGCUACCACUUACAGAUGGACCCGCGGCGCAUUAGCUAGUUGGUGAGGUAACGGCUCACCAAGGCGACGAUGCGUAGCCGACCUGAGAGGGUGAUCGGCCACACUGGGACUGAGACACGGCCCAGACUCCUACGGGAGGCAGCAGUAGGGAAUCUUCCGCAAUGGACGAAAGUCUGACGGAGCAACGCCGCGUGAGUGAUGAAGGUUUUCGGAUCGUAAAACUCUGUUGUUAGGGAAGAACAAGUACCGUUCGAAUAGGGCGGCACCUUGACGGUACCUAACCAGAAAGCCACGGCUAACUACGUGCCAGCAGCCGCGGUAAUACGUAGGUGGCAAGCGUUGUCCGGAAUUAUUGGGCGUAAAGCGCGCGCAGGCGGUUUCUUAAGUCUGAUGUGAAAGCCCCCGGCUCAACCGGGGAGGGUCAUUGGAAACUGGGGAACUUGAGUGCAGAAGAGGAGAGUGGAAUUCCACGUGUAGCGGUGAAAUGCGUAGAGAUGUGGAGGAACACCAGUGGCGAAGGCGACUCUCUG
rnacentral:rRNA from 1 species